rnacentral:lncRNA from 1 species
AGGUUAGAGCGUAUGGCUCACAGGAAUACAAAGACACUCCAUCAGCAACCUGCCUCACAAACAAAUCAUAGGUUAUAAAUCUGAAUUCCUGGUACUUGAAUUUUUCUUACCUACUGAGAAAUCUGUUCUUCGAAAGGAGAUAUGAACUGAGUGCCAACAACUAGAGGGGCAAAUAGGUUUUAUCUCCAAACUAAGAGCAAUUCAACUUAGUGCUGUGAAAUAAGUUAUAUACAUGACUAUUCAUUCUUUCCAUGAUUCCCUGCACAGUUGGGAGCAAAGCUGGGGCUCUGUUUAUGCAUACAGGUUGAAAGCUCACUUCACCCCCAAUGUAUCUGUGCUCCCCCAUCCCAGAAGCCCUUACCAGCAUCACUGUGGUAGCUAGUCUCAUGUAUUUGUCCGUGUUUUCCUGGUGGCUCUCUCUAACAUCUAGCCCACUAUUAAAAUGUGGAGUUUUAUGAGAAGAGCAGAUACCAUAGGAGAAGCAACUGGCCAUGCUGGGAGCCAGCUGGCAAAACCUUUCUAACUGAUGAGUCCAGCAGCUAGAUCUCAGGCUGCUGAUUCGGAAGGUCUGACAGCAGUCCUGAGCCCUCUUCUUCCCCCAUGAGUAUUGUCAACCUAGGAGCCAAUGAGCUGAUUCCUGCAGCUAUGAGUCUCUUCUCCCAAACUGGUCAGAUUAAAGCCAUGGCAGGAGAGCCCUCCAUGCUAAAGUAGGUGAGAGACCCCUUGUCUUAGUUAGGGUUUCCGUUGCUGUGAAGAGACACCGUGACCAAGACAACUAAGAAAACAUUUAAUUAGGUCUGGCUUACAGUUUCAGAGGUUCAGUCCAUUAUCAUUAUGGCUGGAAGCAUGGCAGUGUGCAGGCAGACCUGGUGCUGGAAGAGCUGAGAGUUCUACAUCUUGAUCCACAGGCAGCAGAUGGAGACUGUGUACCAAACUGGGGAUAUCUUGAGUAUAUAUGAGACCUCAGAGCCUGCCUCCAUAAUAACACACUUCCUCCAUCAAGGCCAAUAUACUCCAACAAAGCCACACCUCCUAAUAGUACCAAUCCCUAUGAGCCAAACAUUCAAACACAUGAGUCUACGAGGCCAUACCCAUUCAAACUACCAUACCUUUCUUUAGAAUAGUCUAAGAGAUCAGGAAACAGCUAUACAGAGUUCUGGUGUCAUAGUAAGUCAGCUAGUAAGAGUCCAAUUGGAGCACAGAGCUCCAGGGUCUAAGCCUCCUGUUCUUUCCCUGAGCCACCCUUGCAUCAAGGACUACAAAGACUUGAUCUUCUUGUGUGCUGUAGGCAGCAUUGGUUGUCUACCUUUUCCCCUAACAUCAGCUCUGGCCCUGGAUUUGUGCUACCUUGCUUUGCUACAUAAUAACUAAAAAAUCUGUAAUGAACAAAGUGGCAGGCUUACUUUAGGGUCUGCCUAUGCUGGUCUAGAGGUCAUUGGCUACUUUUAUUAAAAACAUUGUUGUUCUGGACUGUUUUCUUUUUCUAUUAUGGUUUCAGUCGCAUUUCAAUUCAUCAAUAAGUAUAUAAUAAAAAUGCUCUUUAAGGUAUGUCAUAUUAAUUUGAGUUCAUAAGGAAACUGACAUGGCACUUCUUUUUUUUUUUUUUUGAGUCAUUAAGAAAUAUAUUCAAGGGACUGGUGAGAUGGCUCAGUGGUUAAGAGCACCAGACUGCUCUUCCAAAGGUCCUGAGUUCAAAUCCCAGCAACCACAUGGUGGCUCACAACCAUCUGUAACGAGAUCUGACUCCCUCUUAUGGAGUGUCUGAAGACAGCUACAGUGGACUUACAUAUAAUAAAUAAAUAAAUCUAAAAAAAGAAAUAUUUUCAAAAGCCCUUAUAUGAUACCACCUGACACAGCGAGAGAGUAUUUCAAAUGCAUUAUAUAUCUGUGUACAUUGCCUAACAAUCAGUUUACUUAAAAAAGAUUAUCAGUGUUUCUAGGAGAGAAAUCAUUUUGUCAGUACGUAUAUUUUAAGAACUUCAAAAUAGCAAAAACUCUGUGAAGUUAAACAUUAAGAAAAUGCUAAUUUCAAGCACAGUGGGGAAAAUUAUCAAUAAUGCAUCCAUGAUGUUUGUAGAACAUGAUUUUAGUAUUUUCAACUGUUAAUAUUCAACAAACAGAAUGGCACUUCUUUUCUUUCCACCUUCCCUGGGUGGCCUUGAAACUGCUACUCUGCCCACUGAGAAGUGACUCUUGCUAGGAAACCUGUUUGGUUUAGAAAGACUUGUAUCUGUGCUCGGUGGUGGCAGGAUUCAGAGGAACCUAGGGGACCAGGUAGAAUAGGACUGAGUGGGUGUGCCAAGGUGUGCUCGGAUUCCAGAUCUUUCCCUAACCCUGUUAUGGGCAGAACAUACUACGGUGUUUCUGUGCUUGUUACACCUACCUGCUGGACCCAGACCCCAAUCCAGGACUGUCCAGCCCCUUAGGUGAAGGUGAUAUAGCCUGUGGAUGAUAGAUUUUCAGUAUGGACUCUCCAGACUUCUUCCUCUGGUGUCUUCAGCCUUGGAGACAGUCUUGCUUACUCUCCUGCCUCAGGUAUUUCUCUUGCUUUUUCAUCAUAAUAAAUCACCACUUCGAACUUCAUCAGCCCUCAACCUGUCCCUUCUGGCCACGGAACCCUGGGCAACUAAUUUACUCUUGUGUGCCACGGUUUUCCCAUCUGUAAGAGGUUCCCAUUUGUAAUGAGUAAAUUAUACCCUGGUCCAAAAGGAUUGCUUCAAAGAGGAACUGAAAUAAUGAUCAGAAAGCAAUGAUCAUGUCUGACCCUGGAGCAUCCCACCACGAAAUCCUUUGUUAGCAUAAAUAACCAAGCACUCUGAGGCGUGAACACCCAGGAGCUUCCUCCCACAUCCCCCCUGCGGGAAGCAAAGUGUACUUGUUUUGGUAGAAAGCACCAGAGGAUACUUUGCUACUCAGAAGCCAGUCAAGAAAAUAGAGAACCCACUUGGAAUUUUAAAGUGAGUGGAUUUAGAGGGUGCAGGGAGGCUAGAAGAAUGGGGUUGGAGAGGUGGCAGAAACCCAAGACAUCCGCAGAGGAACCAGCUCCCACCAGACCCCUGCUACCUGGGACCUUCAGCCACCUUCCAAGCAGGGUCAGUGGAGGAUGGCGACAGCUGAGAUAGCGGCAGGAACAGAGCCAAUACUAGAGACACUGCACACAUAAGGAAGGAGAAUAAUGAGGGAGAAGGGAGCCAGGGCCUUCUGUCCUCACCUCCUCAUCUGUGUCCGGCCACAUCUCAACUGGUGAGACCUGGCAACGGAAAAUCUUUGGUGCGGUCUGCCUUAGGAUGGAGGCCUCAGAGUGGCAAAGGACACUGCAGAGCCGAUACAAAUAAUAAAAUAAAC